rnacentral:rRNA from 1 species
CAGUAGCCGCGGGAAUACGUAGGUCCCGAGCGUUGUCCGGAUUUAUUGGGCGUAAAGCGGGCGCAGGCGGUUAGAUAAGUCUGAAGUUAAAGGCUGUGGCUUAACCAUAGUACGCUUUGGAAACUGUUUAACUUGAGUGCAAGAGGGGAGAGUGGAAUUCCAUGUGUAGCGGUGAAAUGCGUAGAUAUAUGGAGGAACACCAGUGGCGAAGGCGGCUCUCUGGUCUGUAACUGACGCUGAGGCUCGAAAGCGUGGGGAGCAAACAGGAUUAGAUACCCCAGUAGUCCCUGUCUCUUAUACA